AGGGCCCUCUAUGGAUGGCUCCAUUCAGAGCCUGGCAGAAGUGCUGUUCAUGAAGGAUGUCCCUCUCCACCCCCAGGGAAGAGAUUUCAGUGAAGCUAAGAAGAAAAGUAUUAGCCUAGAGACUUCUGGGGCUUCACCGGUUUUUCGAAUGCAUGAUGUAUGCCUGUUGCAAUACCCCAGGGCACCAGUUUGCCAGUAUCUUUGAAACAUUGGAAUUCAGCAUUUUUCUCCAAAGGAUGACAAGCCAAGCCACAGGUAAUAUGGUACCUGGAUGCUACGCAUCCCGUGUGCGGAGGUUAACAGUAAUCGAGCAUCUGAAAGUCGUGCAGACCAGCCCUUAUCGCAAAGC